ensembl:lncRNA
GGAUUAUGGCAUGCAUCUACACACUUCGCAGAUGUACUUCCUAAUGUGAAAAAGCAAUCCCUCAUAUAAACCACAUAACAAGGAAAACAGCAGCAGUCACACACCCAUAAAUGUUCUCUGGGAAAGUGUGUAGAUUUGCUGCCAAAUGCCUGACUAUAAGUUAAUCAAAGUCAUCUUUUCUACAUAGUGUCCUUAUGACUAACAUAAAUGAUGAGACAAUAUCUUACAAGAAAUAGCAAAGAUUCUCUCCGCUUUAAAAGUUUCAUUUCCCUAUGUUGAAUAUUGGCUAGAAAGCUUGGUGGAUUGUAGCAUCUUAGGAAUCAACAGCAUCACUCAUUUUCUCAGUUGAGGGCACUGGCACAAGAAAAAUUAAACAUGAACCUUUCUAAGAAACUCCAUCUUUUAGUCCUUAUGUUUCUCACUUUCUUCUUGGUGUCACAGUUCAGAAUUAUUAAUUCUCUUGUAUAAUGUCAAAUGGAAUGCAAGAUUUUGGCAAGAGGAUUUAGAACACCCAUUGUCAACCAGAGAACCAAAUAAUACUAUUAAAAAUGGAAUUACAGGACCAAACAAAGAAUUCUCAACUGAGGAAUUUCGAAUGGACACGAAGAACCUAAUGCAAUGCUCAACAUCCUUAGUUGUCAUCGAAAUGCAAAACAAAACAACCUUGAGAUUCCACAUCACACCAGACAGAAUGGAUAAGAUUAAAUCUCAGGUGACUUCACAUGUUGGCAAGGAUGUGGAGAAAAAGGAACACUCCUCCAUUUUAGGUGGGAUUGCAAGUUGCUACAACCACUCUAUAAAUCAUUGUGGUGGUUCCCCAGAAUACUUGGCAUUGUAGUACCUGAGGAUCCAGCUACACUACAGCUCGGAAUAUAUACCCAAAAGAUGCUCCAACAUAUAACAAGGACACAUGGUCCAAUGUGUUCUUCGCAGCCUUAUUUAAUAAUAGCCAAAAGCUACAAAGAAGCCAGACACCCUUCAACAGAAAAAUGAAUACAGAAAAUGUGGUACAUUUACACAAUGCAAAA